AAUGCGGGACUCUAAGAGGCCCCGUAAUUGGAAUGAGUACACCUUAAAUCGUUUAACGAGUAUCAAUUGGAGGGCAAGUCUGGUGCCAGCAGCCGCGGUAAUUCCAGCUCCAAUAGCGUAUAUUAAAGUUGCUGCAGUUAAAAAGCUCGUAGUUGGAUCUGGGGCUUGAGGUCGCUGUCUAUCGUUUCGGCGAUGACGGUGAUGCUCAGCUCUGCUUGCCGGUGACUGUUGCGGUGUUCUUCACUGAGCGCUGUAGCAGCACGGCACGCUUACUUUGAAAAAAUUAGAGUGCUCAAAGCGUGCUUGUCGCUUGAAUAAUGUUGCAUGGAAUAAUGGAAUAGGACCUCGGUUCUAUUUUGUUGGUUUUCGGAGCUUGAGGUAAUGAUUAAGAGGGACGAACGGGGGCAUUCGUAUUGCGGUGUUAGAGGUGAAAUUCUUGGAUCGCCGCAAGACGGACUACUGCGAAAGCAUUUGCAAAGAACGCUUUCAUUAAUUAAGAACGAAAGUCAGAGGUUCGAAGACGAUCAGACACCGUCCUAGUUCUGACCAUAAACGAUGCCGACCAGCGAUCCGUAGUGGUUGCUUUAUGGACCCUACGGGCAGCCUCCGGGAAACCAAAGUAUUUGGGUUCCGGGGGAAGUAUGGUUGCAAAGCUGAAACUUAAAGGAAUUGACGGAAGGGCACACCAGGAGUGGAGCCUGCGGCUUAAUUUGACCCAACACGGGAAAACUCACCCGGUCCGGACACCGUAAGGAUUGACAGACUGAUAGCUCUUUCUUGAUUCGGUGGAUGGUGGUGCAUGGCCGUUCUUAGUUGGUGGAGUGAUUUGUCUGGUUAAUUCCGAUAACGAACGAGACUCUAGCCUGCUAAGUAGUGUUGCUAUUGUUAUAUGGUUGACACUUCUUAGAGGGACAAGUGGCAUUUAGCCACGCGAAAUUGAGCAAUAACAGGUCUGUGAUGCCCUUAGAUGUCCGGGGCCGCACGCGCGCUACACUGGAGAAGUCAGCGUGUGUUAUCCAAGUCCGAAAGGACUGGGUAAUCCGUUGAACCUUCUUCGUGCUUGGGACUGUGGCUUGGAACUAUUCCACAUGAACGAGGAAUUCCUAGUAAUUGCAAGUCAUAAGCUUGCGUUGAUUACGUCCCUGCCCUUUGUACACACCGCCCGUCGCUACUACCGAUUGAAUGGUUUAGCAAGGUCCUCGGAUCGUGGCCGUAGGGGCACGCAAGUGUUUCUGCGGUUUGCGAGAAGACGACCAAACUUGAUCAUUUAGA
rnacentral:rRNA from 1 species